CAAUAAGCACAUGCUUGUGAGAAGCAUUAAACAAUAAAAAUGUGACAGGAAGUGAUGGAAUGGUUCUGAGUGUCACCAGUUAAAGAAAGGUGAAGCGAGCCACCGGUUCACUUGCUCCAUGAUUAUAACUAAAAAAUUUCUUAAAGAAACUUCUACCAGCAACAUCUUCAGUCUACUCAGUUGAGGUUGCACUGGACUCCCACUGGGAAAAGGCAAACAACAUUCUCCAAGAAAUUUUGCAAAAAUAUUCUAACAGACUAAAUUUUCACAAUGAAGAAAACCAAUUUGGGAUCUGUGCUACGCACCAUCUACUUCAGCUUUGAAAAAGCCUUCCUCACACGUGGUCUCACUUCUUCCUGCCUUGAGCUUCUCAAACCUAGUCUCUUCCGCUCCUCAAGCGCAAGGAACAGAGGACAGAGGGAAGCUGGAGCGCAAGCUAAGCAAGCCACAACAGCAAGGAGACACACAGUUGUCCUAGCACCACUGCAACAGCUGCAAAGAAGCAAGAAAAUGUGCGUGGGAGUUGCUCAAACGGUAGCAGCCUCAAGAGAAAUAUCUGUGGAAACAUGGUACAAAGCAGCAUUUGGGGGUGAUGCCAUCUUUAACAGAAGGAGCUGGCUGCAGAAGAGGACAUCGUGUCUAAAGCCCUGACUGAGUGGAAAGGAUCAGUCUGGCCCAUCAGGAGAAAGAUCGCCUAUUCUUACCAAAACCGCUCAGGGCUUGAAGCAAGAUCUUCCAGAAAUACAGCCUUGUGAAGAUCACCACUAUUUCCUUGAAGAAAAUUCACCCUCAAUUUCAUAAAAAUUGGGAAAUCACUACAGAUCAAGAGGAACCUGGGCCCAGCCAACCAAGACUAUUUUUCAUGCUGCUUCUGACACCAAUAGCUUCCGCGGGUCCACGAAGUCCUUGGGGGAGGUAAGCCUGCAUGUAGUAUCUUCCCCAGGAAUUCUCCAAGGACUCAACAUUGACACCACAUACAUCCUUCCUGGACAAUCUUUUCCUCCCAGGCUCCAACUACGUUACCUGUGUCAACUCCAAACAGGUAUCUGCAAAAAUUCCAGGAAAUAGGUUUGACAGGCAAGGACGGGAAAGGUCACAAAAGCAAAGAAACCAUUCUAGGUGAGAAAACGAAAAGGUGUAAUUUCAAAAUCCUGGAUCCUUUAUAUACAGAACUGAGGAUCAGCUAAUUGUGGCUUAUUUAGCACAUUGUUUACUAAAAAUAAACACUCGUAUCCUCUCUUCUCUGAGGUCA
rnacentral:lncRNA from 1 species